rnacentral:rRNA from 1 species
GAUAAACGCUGGCGGCGUGCCUAACACAUGCAAGUCGAACGCGAAAGCCCUUUCGGGGGCAACUAGAGUGGCGUCCGGGUGAGUAACACGUGGGUAAUCUACCUUUGGGUGGGGAAUAACGUCUCGAAAGAGGCGCUAAUACCGCAUAAUGCAGCGGCAUCUAAUGAUGAGAGUUGUUAAAGCGGGGGAUUGCUUCGGCAACCUCGUGCCUGAAGAGGAGCCUGCGGCAGAUUAGCUAGUUGGUGAGGUAAAGGCUCACCAAGGCUACGACGGCUAG